rnacentral:lncRNA from 1 species
UUGAAAGUUGGGCCAUCUUUGAAAUUUAGACCAUGCUCAUAAGUCUUGGUGUAUUACUCCUAGCCAAGCAUUCUCAUUACAAAUAGAACUCCUAGCCAAGCAUUUUCAUUAAAAGGAAGAGUUAGAGUUUUCAGCUCUAUUACUAUUUUCUGUCCUAAUUUGUGCAAAUUUAAAUGGAAAAUUUACUCAGGUAUGUUGCAGUACUUGUUGCGAUAAUUUUAUUAUUGAUAGGAACAUCUGAAUGCCAAAACAUAAAAGAAAAUGAAUUAGUUGGGGGGGUUGCUGGAGGAGGUUUUGGUGGCGGCAGUGAUGUCAAAAGAAAACUUCUUUAUAGUGGUAAUUGUGGAGGAGUUGUUGGUGACUAUGGUGGUUGUUCCGAUCUAAAAUCAGAGGGUGACUCGAAAAGAAUGGAAUCACAACCAUAAAUUAUUCAAGGGUUAUACUAACAAGUACCCUGGUUUCCAUUAUUUAAAUAGGAUUAAUGUUGUAAAAGCUUUCAAAGUAAAUAAAUUGGCUUUGAAAUUAUACUUUGGGCUUAGGAAUCAAUUAUACAUAGGGCAAUUACACUUGUCUAUCCUGUUGUAUUCUUACAUAAUAUAUGUAUUUUUUUUGGGUACAAUCUUACAUAAUAUUUUUAAGUAAAUAUUUGCAGCUUAAAAUAUGCAUUUCCUAAAAGGUUAGGUUUCUGUCCAUUGAUUCUACUUCUAGUGUGAUUUUUUUUAAUCAUGUGUUGUUGUGUGCCACCACAAGAGAUGGUGUAUUUGCAGCUUUAAAAAUACAUCGUCAUAAGGGUAUAAUUUUUUUUAGGCAUUGGCUCAUUAAUUUUCUGGACAUUUGGCUCACUAUGAUAGCGGUGGAGCUUGAAAGAGGGACCAGUUUGGUUCAUCUUGUUGUGUCGUUGGAAGAAUAUGAAGAAGAAAAGUAGGAAUUGUGUUUUUUAAUAUUAAAAAUCUAAAUAAAUUUUGUGACACCCGUUUAAAGAAAUGUCACUGUAUUGGA